rnacentral:rRNA from 1 species
UACAGAGACUGCAAGCGUUAUUCGGAUUCACUGGGCGUAAAGGGUGCGCAGGCGGCCAAGUGUGUGAGGUGUGAAAGCCCGGGGCUUAACCUCGGAAUUGCACCUCAAACUACAUGGCUAGAGCAUUGGAGAGGGUAGCGGAAUUCACGGUGUAGCAGUGAAAUGCGUAGAUAUCGUGAGGAACACCAGAGGCGAAGGCGGCUACCUGGACAAUUGCUGACGCUCAGACACGAAAGCGUGGGGAGCAAAAGGG